AAAAAGACAAACCGUGGGUUUGCGUGUCCAACUUUAACUGUCCGUCUUAUAUGAAAUUAUUUUAUAAUUCGUAUUUUCAUUGUUGUUAGAUGAUAAAACAUAAUUAAUAUUUUAUGCGUGACUUAUCUUUUUAAUUUUUUUUAUAUUUUUUUUAAAUAAGUUGGACAGUCAAACGUUGAGCAC
rfam:Oryza glumipatula chromosome 6, whole genome shotgun sequence.